AGAGUUUGAUCAUGGCUCAGGAUGAACGCUGGCGGCGUGCUUAACACAUGCAAGUCGAACGAUAAAAGCCCCUUCGGGGGUGUAUAAAGUGGCGAACGGGUGAGUAACACGUGGGCAAUCUGCCCCUCACAUCGGGAUAACUCAGGGAAACUUGAGCUAAUACCGGAUACUCCGGGACGAUCGCAUGGUCGACCCGGGAAAGCUCCGACGGUGAGGGAUGAGCCCGCGGCCCAUUAGCUUGUUGGUAGGGUAACGGCCUACCAAGGCGACGAUGGGUAGCCGAGCUGAGAGGCUGAUCGGCCACACUGGGACUGAGACACGGCCCAGACUCCUACGGGAGGCAGCAGUGGGGAAUUUUGCGCAAUGGGCGAAAGCCUGACGCAGCAACGCCGCGUGCGGGAUGAAGGCCUUCGGGUUGUAUACCGCUUUCAGCAGGGAUGAAACUGACAGUACCUGCAGAAGAAGCCCCGGCUAACUACGUGCCAGCAGCCGCGGUAAUACGUAGGGGGCAAGCGUUAUCCGGAUUCAUUGGGCGUAAAGAGCGCGUAGGCGGCUUGUUAAGCGAGAUGUGAAAUCCGGGGGCUUAACCCGCGGCUUGCAUCUCGAACUGGCAGGCUUGAGUCUGGUAGAGGAGUGUGGAAUUCCCAGUGUAGCGGUGAAAUGCGCAGAUAUUGGGAGGAACACCAGUGGCGAAGGCGGCACUCUGGGCCACGACCGACGCUGAGGCGCGAAAGCUAGGGGAGCGAACAGGAUUAGAUACCCUGGUAGUCCUAGCCGUAAACGAUGGGCACUAGGUGUGGGGGGUAUAACUCCCUCCGUGCCGCAGCUAACGCAUUAAGUGCCCCGCCUGGGGAGUACGGCCGCAAGGCUAAAACUCAAAGGAAUUGACGG
rnacentral:rRNA from 1 species